UGGUGAUAGUUCGAAACUCAUUGCCAGAACGAAUGCAAAUUUCAUUUUGGAAGAUGCAGCGAAAAUUAUGAAAUGAUAAUAGAAAAGUGGUUAAGAGAAUCGUGAAAGAUGUCAACGCAGGCGUAAAUGCAGUUUGUUUUGUUGCAUGAUCUGCGGCUAUUUCAUCACCAAAGCUCCUGAUAACAGAUCAAAGCAGAUGGAUAGGGCAUACAGAGUCGCAGUUUAAUUUAAAAUAUCUUCGUGAUCGGCAAACGCAUCAAACAGCAAGUGUUUCUCUUCCAACAGCACGUACCAUCGGUGGAUCAAGCAGCUAACGAUUUGAUCGCCAGUACGCACCAUCAAGAAUUGAUAUUUUGCCAAACAGUACUGUGAAUAAAAACUGCACACUUACUGUCGGAAUUUCCUGGAAUUUUUUGAUCGGUCUACGCUCGCGGGAAUGGUGGGUUCGUUGAGGAGAAGGGAAGAAAGGGUGGGAGCGAGGAUUAACCAAAAACGCGGCAUUGAGAAUGAGGGGAGGUGCGCUCAGCGCUCACGCUGGGUCACU